rnacentral:rRNA from 1 species
CGGGAGAAAGCAGGGGACCUUCGGGCCUUGCGCUAUCAGAUGAGCCUAGGUCGGAUUAGCUAGUUGGUGAGGUAAUGGCUCACCAAGGCGACGAUCCGUAACUGGUCUGAGAGGAUGAUCAGUCACACUGGAACUGAGACACGGUCCAGACUCCUACGGGAGGCAGCAGUGGGGAAUAUUGGACAAUGGGCGAAAGCCUGAUCCAGCCAUGCCGCGUGUGUGAAGAAGGUCUUCGGAUUGUAAAGCACUUUAAGUUGGGAGGAAGGGUUGUACGUUAAUACCGUGCAAUUUUGACGUUACCGACAGAAUAAGCACCGGCUAACUUCGUGCCAGCAGCCGCGGUAAUACGAAGGGUGCAAGCGUUAAUCGGAAUUACUGGGCGUAAAGCGCGCGUAGGUGGUUCAGUAAGUUGGAAGUGAAAUCCCCGGGCUCAACCUGGGAACUGCUUUCAAAACUGCUGAGCUAGAGUACGGUAGAGGGUAGUGGAAUUUCCUGUGUAGCGGUGAAAUGCGUAGAUAUAGGAAGGAACACCAGUGGCGAAGGCGACUACCUGGACUGAUACUGAC